GUGGCCAUUUUCCCUCCCUCCCAAAAUCCCCCCUUCCCUCCCAAAAUCCCCAUUAGUCCCAGCUGGUAACUUAGAAAAAAGAAAAAGAAAAAGAAGAAAUCCCUAGCUAGCCAUCGAAACCCGUGUGUGGUGGUGCGCCAUUUCGUUCUUCUUCUUCUUCUACCUCCUUCGUAGCUCAACUCAGUCUCUCUCCACUACGCCGUUUUCCUUUCUCCCAGCUCCAACCAUCGCCGAAGGCAAAAACCCCUCCAUCGCGGACCUGAACUCUGUCUCUCUUCACUGCGUGAGCCGAAGGUCGUCGUUGCUUCUUUGCCUCCUCGCGAGGCUUGUUGUUGCUUCCCUAUUUUGCAUCGUGUGCUGCCGUCACUACUUCACGUCGUGUCUCUGCCUCACCACGAGCUCCCUGUCACCGUGAGCUCACCCUGUGUACUCUUUUCAAGUUCAGCAGAAGCAAUAGGGUUUGGGUGCUCGUGUAAAUAUUUUCAAGUUCAGCAAUAGGGUUUUAAUACCUUUGAUGCUAUUAAGUGGAUGGAGAAAGUUUGGAUGAAGCUGCAUGUGAGAAGAGAACAAGGGAGGAGACUGGUAUUGAAGUGGGAGAAGUUAUAUAUCACAGCUCUUAGCCACGGCCUGGAUAUUAUUUUUGGACUGGUAAAGACAAAAGGAGUUGAGUAGUUGUUGUGGCACAGUGUAUAACAACUUCAAAUGGCAUCUCAAAAUGAAGGAACUAAGCAGUUUAAUCAUAUUUUGUCAAAAGAUUUGAUGGAUUCACCAAGAUUUGAGAACGAGUACAUAGUUGGUGUAAAUAGUUUUUUAGAGUUUGCCUUCCUAAAGGGAAACCGGUUGGAAAAGAAAUCCAAUGUCCAUGUGCAAAGUGUGGAAACACUUAUUGGCGUGAACGAGAUGCCGUAUAUGAGCAUCUUAUUUUCUAUGGGUUUGUCGAAGGUUAUAAACGAUGGACUAAUCAUGGGAAAUCAGUAAUCCCAACAGUAGUAGAUACUGACAUGGAUGAUCGAGGCGGCCUUGAUGAUAUUGACGGGUUGCUGCGUGACGCAUUCGAAAAUAUGGCAAAUCUUGAGGGGGGAAUAGUUGGUUGAAUGAAGAUGCGAAGAGAUUUUAUAAGCUAGUAGACGAAGCAGGUCUGGAAUUAUAUCCGAAUUGUACAUCUGGAUUUUCGAGAUUAUCGUUCAUCAUUCGUCUUUACCACUUGAAGUGUCUACAUGGGUGGAGUAACACAUCUUUGACCUCCCUCUUGGAGUUAUUGAAAGAAGCUAUACCUGAUUUGAACAUUCCCACGUCUUUUAAUAAAGCUAAGAAUAUGGUUAAAGAGUUGGGUCUUGACUAUGAAAAGAUUGAUGUAUGUUCUAAUGACUGCAUGUUGUAUCGAAAUGAGUACAUAAAUGACUCAGUUUGCCGUAUCUGUGGAGAGUCUCGAUAUAAUCAGACUCCUACUACGGAUGGCAACGAAGAGGACUUUGUGCUUCCAAAUAAAGUUUAUAAGGUUUCUGCAAAAACCUUAAGAUACUUUCCUUUAAUACCAAGGCUUAAAAGGCUUUUUAUGUGCCCAAACACAGCAGAGGCGUUGAGGUGGCAUGAUGAGCAGCGUUUGAAAGAUGGUUGCAUAAGGCACCCUGCUGAUGGCCAAGCAUGGAAGAACUUGGACAGUUGGAAGCCGGAUUUAUAAGAACUUGGACAGUUGUAAUCGGUGCACAUUCGCCACUUCCCAUUCUCUGUAC